rnacentral:rRNA from 1 species
CAAGUCGAACGGCAGCACGGGGGCAACCCUGGUGGCGAGUGGCGAACGGGUGAGUAAUACAUCGGAACGUGUCCUGUAGUGGGGGAUAGCCCGGCGAAAGCCGGAUUAAUACCGCAUACGCUCUACGGAGGAAAGGGGGGGAUCUUAGGACCUCCCGCUACAGGGGCGGCCGAUGGCAGAUUAGCUAGUUGGUGGGGUAAAGGCCUACCAAGGCGACGAUCUGUAGCUGGUCUGAGAGGACGACCAGCCACACUGGGACUGAGACACGGCCCAGACUCCUACGGGAGGCAGCAGUGGGGAAUUUUGGACAAUGGGCGAAAGCCUGAUCCAGCAAUGCCGCGUGUGUGAAGAAGGCCUUCGGGUUGUAAAGCACUUUUGUCCGGAAAGAAAACGUCGUGGUUAAUACCCGUGGCGGAUGACGGUACCGGAAGAAUAAGCACCGGCUAACUACGUGCCAGCAGCCGCGGU